CACGUAGGGCGCAAGCGUUGUCCGGAAUCAUUGGGCGUAAAGAGCUCGUAGGCGGUCUGUUGCGUCCGCUGUGAAAACCCGGGGCUUAACCCCUGGCUUGCAGUGGAUACGGACAGACUAGAGGUAGGUAGGGGAGAAUGGAAUUCCCGGUGUAGCGGUGAAAUGCGCAGAUAUCGGGAGGAACACCGGUGGCGAAGGCGGUUCUCUGGGCCUUACCUGACGCUGAGGAGCGAAAGCGUGGGGAGCGAACAGG
rnacentral:rRNA from 1 species